UACGUAGGGGGCAAGCGUUGUCCGGAUUUAUUGGGCGUAAAGAGCGUGUAGGCGCCAGACAGGUCCGUUGUGAAAACUAGAGGCUUAACCUCUAGACGUCGAUGGAAACCGUCUGGCUAGAGUCCGGAAGAGGAGAAUGGAAUUCCUGGUGUAGCGGUGAAAUGCGCAGAUAUCAGGAGAACACCCGUGGCGAAGGCGGUCACUCUGGGCGUACUCGUGAGGAAGCGAAGAACGUGGGGGAG
rnacentral:rRNA from 1 species